rnacentral:lncRNA from 10 species
UGGCCGUUUAACUGGAGAUCCAGAUGUUUUGGAAUAUUACAAAAAUGAUCAUGCCAAGAAGCCUAUUCGUAUUAUUGAUUUAAAUUUAUGUCAACAAGUAGAUGCUGGAUUGACAUUUAACAAAAAAGAGUUUGAAAACAGCUACAUUUUUGAUAUCAACACUAUUGACCGGAUUUUCUACUUGGUAGCAGACAGCGAGGAGGAGAUGAAUAAGUGGGUUCGUUGUAUUUGUGACAUCUGUGGGUUUAAUCCAACAGAAGAAGGAUCUCACUUUGUCGUCUAGGCUGGAGUACAGUGGCAUGAUCUCUGCUCACUGCAACCUCUGCCUCCCAGGUUCAAGCGAUUCUCGUGCCUCAGCCUUCUGAGUAGCUGGAAUUACAGAUCCUGUGAAGCCACCUGGCAGCUCUUUACAAGCACCAGCUGAUUUACCUUUAGCUAUAAAUACAGCACCACCAUCCACCCAGGCAGAUUCAUCCUCUGCUACUCUACCUCCUCCAUAUCAGCUAAUCAAUGUUCCACCACACCUGGAAACUCUUGGCAUUCAGGAGGAUCCUCAAGACUACCUGUUGCU